rnacentral:miRNA from 1 species
GGUGUGUGUGUGUUUGUGUGUGUGUGUGUGUGUACAUAUGUUUAUACACACAUGCGCACACACACACACACACAAU